UGGGGAAUUUUGCACAAUGGGGGAAACCCUGAUGCAGCGACGCCGCGUGAUUUAGAAGGCCUUCGGGUUGUAAAAAUCUUUUCUAUGGGAAGAAAAUGACAGUACCAUAGGAAUAAGGACCGGCUAAUUACGUGCCAGCAGCCGCGGUAAUACGUAAGGUCCGAGCGUUGUCCGGAAUCAUUGGGCGUAAAGGGUACGUAGGCGGGUAAGCAAGUUAGAAGUGAAAUCCUGUAGCUCAACUACAGUAAGCUUUAAAACUGCUCAUCUUGAGAUAUGGAAGGGAAAGUGGAAUUCCUAGUGUAGCGGUGAAAUGCGCAGAUAUUAGGAGGAAUACCGGUGGCGAAGGCGACUUUCUGGCCAUAAUCUGACGCUGAGGUACGAAAGCGUGGGUAGCAAACAGG
rnacentral:rRNA from 1 species